AGAGUUUGAUCCUGGCUCAGGAUGAACGCUAGCGACAGGCUUAACACAUGCAAGUCGAGGGGCAGCGGGGGAGUAGCAAUACUCCCGCCGGCGACCGGCGCACGGGUGAGUAACACGUAUGAAACCUGCCCGUAGCAGGGGGAUAAGCGGAAGAAAUUCCGUCUAAUACCGCGUAACAACCCUUGGAGGCAUCUCCUCGGGUUUAAAGGGAGCGAUUCCGGCUACGGAUGGUCAUGCGUCGCAUUAGCUUGUUGGCGGGGUAACGGCCCACCAAGGCGACGAUGCGUAGGGGUUCUGAGAGGAAGGUCCCCCCACACUGGUACUGAGACACGGACCAGACUCCUACGGGAGGCAGCAGUGAGGAAUAUUGGUCAAUGGCCGCAGGGCUGAACCAGCCAAGUCGCGUGAGGGAUGACGGUCCUAUGGAUUGUAAACCUCUUUUGUCAGGGAGCAAAGGGCGCCACGUGUGGCGUUUUGCGAGUACCUGAAGAAAAAGCAUCGGCUAACUCCGUGCCAGCAGCCGCGGUAAUACGGAGGAUGCGAGCGUUAUCCGGAUUUAUUGGGUUUAAAGGGUGCGCAGGCGGAAUGUCAAGUCAGCGGUAAAAUUUCGGGGCUCAACCCCGUCGUGCCGUUGAAACUGGCGUUCUUGAGUGAGC
rnacentral:rRNA from 1 species